UACGUAGGGUGCAAGCGUUAAUCGGAAUUACUGGGCGUAAAGCGUGCGCAGGCGGUCCGUUAAGACAGAUGUGAAAUCCCCGGGCUUAACCUGGGAAUUGCAUUUGUGACUGCACGGCUAGAGUGUGUCAGAGGGGGGUAGAAUUCCACGUGUAGCAGUGAAAUGCGUAGAGAUGUGGAGGAAUACCGGUGGCGAAGGCAGCCCCCUGGGAUAACACUGACGCUCAUGCACGAAAGCGUGGGGAGCAAACAGG
rnacentral:rRNA from 1 species